rnacentral:snRNA from 1 species
ACACUUACCAGGCAGGGGAGAUACCGUGAUCACGAAGGUGGCUUUCCCAGGGCGAAGCUCAUCCAUUACACUCUGGAUGUGCUGAGCCCUGCGAUUUCCCCAAAUGUGGGAAACUCAGCUGCAUAAUUUGUGGUAGUGGGGCCUGUGCUGGUGCCCUCCCUGC